AGUGUUAACAUGAUGUGUGCUAUUCAAUCUUUCUAUCUAAUGUCAUGUAUACCAUUGCCCUUGUUUUUUUUCUUUUGCAGGUAUGCUCCUCUUGAUAGUUGUCUUUUCACAACUGCCAUUACCACUUCAGAUGAAAGAUAUAAUUGGCCUGUUCCAUGGCCUGAAAGACUUGAUGUUAGCUAUGCAAGUGUACCUGAUGAUUCUGCUUCUAACAAAGAGAAGUUUGAAGCUGAUACAAAGUAUUGGAAACAGCUCAUUUCAGAAGUAUAUUUCAGUGACUUCCCAUUUAAUUGGUCAAGCAUCGCAAUGUAAUGGACAUGAAUGCUAGGUUUGGAGGGUAAGUUAAGGCAAAUUUCUAAUGCUUCUCGUAUAUAGUUAAAGUUAAUUUGUAUGACAUGAAUAUUAAUGCUUGUAGAGCACCUCACCAUAUCUUUCAAUUGUUUCUGAUACAUCUGGAGCACAAGGGGUUAUAAACGGAUGAUUUAACAUGGAUUUUUUGUACUCCAGUCUCCUUUUUUUAAUGGUUGGCAGCUCUGCCGAGCAUAUGUUGAUAAAGCAGGGUGCUGCCUUUCAAUCAUGUUGGCGUGGGCCGAAGCUAUAUCUGGAGCACCAGGAGUCCAGCCUCUGCUAUGCCCUCAAGGUGGCCCUCUUCUUCGAAAGGGUGCUUGUCAUGCCUACAAAGAUCUGCCUUAGUUCAGUGCACAAUACAAAGGGGGUCCUUCAUUCAAGCAUUGCAACUUCAUAACAAAGCUUCGUCGUGUUCACCAGCCAAUGGCCCAGGACGUCGUGUGGCCCUUUUACCACCUCCGAAAUGUCGACGAACAUGAGGAGCUUCCUGGACUAUAGCUGGAUCGGAGGUCAGGAUGUCAUAUGUGUUAAACAAAGUCAUUCUUCAACAGUUUCAACUACUAAUCUUAAGUUGCACCUGGAGAAUCUUAGCGAUUUUUACUUUCUGAUGGGAAGAACCACUCCCCAAUACUUCGGAAGGCAAAGGAUGGCAAGAGCACGGUGCCUGAUGUUUUUGUCAGGAUAGUGCAGCAUUCUAAUAACCUGCAUCUUUCUAGCUACUCUGAAACAUCAAUCAAGGAUGUAUAUAUUUUUUUAUAUGACUUAGUAUCAAUUCGCUCUCUCUUGAUAUGGUGAAAAAAAUUAUAUGUCCGUUAUUCCAAAUAGGGCCUGACAGUUACCUGUUCGAAAAGGGGAGGAGAAGCAUACUUACCCAACCACUCCAAUAUUCCAAACAUGAUUGGAGACUCCAUGAUAUGUGUCCCAUAAGUCUUGAUAAACCUGAUAUUCACAAGGUUAGUAUGCUUUAUAUCAAAACAACAGUUUGUUGUAUUUAUGUGGUUUGGAAAAUUAAUUGCUAGGUAAGUUAUUAAUUCUGACAAAAAAUCCUUGGUCUAUGGUUCCCAGGUCAAGAAUUGCAAUAAGCAGAGUACAUAAAACUCAUGGUUGGUGUCAUCAAAACCAAAACAAAGAAACAUGGCAAACUAGAAAUUUAGAAAAUAACAUGUUCUUAAAGUAUUUAUAAGUGAGAGUCUCCAGAAUAUAGCAAUUGGUUAUUUGUAGAUGACAUUUUUCAUUCCUAGAUUAAUACCUUUUAUUAAUAGAGAGAAAGAAAAGGCUUUAUGAAUGCCUAGAAACCUAGGACUAAAGUAAAGAACAAAAUGACACAUCUAGAAACCUAUGUUCCAAGAGUUCACCUUCGAGCAGUUGCAGCUAGCAUCGCCUAAAAUACUUUUGUUUUGUUGUGCGUUCCUGUGUUAGGCUGCUAGGUUUACUACUAAAUGCAUAUCCAUGCCUUUUCAUUCAGCAUCUAUGUUAUUGACUUAGAAUCAGUUCAUGGCACAUUUAUCGAAAAUGAGAGAUUAACAAACGACAAUGUUGUUGAACUUGAAGUUGGACAGUGACUUUUGCGAAAGAACAUAGCUACUCUAUUCCCAAUUCCUAGCCUUUUAUAUCAGAUAAGCUACAAGAGGUCCUUAAAAGAGUGAAGAGCGCAACAAUACCUGGAUACAGUGACCUUUGUGGGGAUUCUGCUCCAGCAAAAGUGGGCUCAUCUUGGGCAUACAAAUCGGAUGAUCAACAUGUGGAGGAGAAGACACAUAGCAUGAAUUUAAACAUGAAUUCAACCGAUGACAGUGAUAAUAACUUGUCUGCUGACUUGUGAUUCAGAGUUGACAGUGGAUACAAACAAAUAUAUUCUUCAUAAUUUUGUGGUAGAGUUGUUUCAAUUGGUAGAUGCCUUUUGCUUAGUUUAUAAAUGAUUGUACCCUGCUGCAAAUCAAGGUAUGCACCCUUGAAAUUAGCGAUUUCAUUAGCUGUUUGAACUUGACAUUUUUGUUAUAACAACUUUUUUCUUAAAUCACACUAAUAUAUUUCUUUUAGGUCCAAGUCAACAAGAGUGACUAUGACAAUGUGAAGGUUGUCCUCUACCUCAAAGUGAAUAGGAAAGCAAACUAGGAUCUUUGAAGUCUUAAAAAAAUAUUAAGUUUCAUUCCACCAAAUUAAUUUUUGUGUAUCUUUCACUGUGUUCCUUUUCAAAAAUAUUGAGGCAUCAUUUCAAAGCAAGCAAAAAACUACUCCUAUUUAUAUGUGCAAAUAAGAGUGGCACUUUAUCCAUUAGCUCCCUUUGGGAGCUAAAGUUUUCACUGAUCUAUCUUGAAUCCGAGGCUAAUGAUUUCAUCUGUACACUGUACUGUUGGCUGCUAAAUUGUGGCUAUUUUUGUCCAAUUUCAUGGCCAAAUUUUGGUGAUGCUUUGUCAUUCUUUGAACAUAUACUUCACACUGUACCUCAGGCAACUAUUUUAUUCGUCGUAGUGGGAUGUCAACAUUACUGCUUUUGCAGUCAUAGAGGGACCUUUAUUAUAAAGUGGAACAAGAGGAGCUGGAGAAGCUCGCACGCAAGGGCCCCAGCUCAGGAGAGCAACCCUCGCCAACCACAGGCUCUGCAGCAAGUGAUGUGAAGGCCGAUGCUGGGCCAACGGAGUCAGCAUCUGCAAGUGUGUCGACCGACAAUAACAGAAACUAUGCUGUUCUGGCAGGCGCAGUUGCUGCCCUGGGUGGCCUGGGUUGGUAUCACGAUGUUGCUGGAGAAAGGCGCUGACGUUAACGCGCGCAACUACUGCGGCCAGGUCUUGAGUUCUAAGCAGCCUCUCCGCAUUUGUGGGGAAGGCCUAUCUCGGUUUAUCCCUUCUACAGACCCCACUUAUGUUGGAGCCUCUGACACUGGGUUUGCCCUCUUUUUGACUGCACUGAUGCAUGCGUGUCGGCAUGGGCACUAGGAGGUGGUGCAGAUGCUUCUUCUCUUCAGAUGCAAUGUUACUAGGGCAGAUUACUUGAGUGGUCGAACAUCACUGCAUUUUGCUACACAUGAUGGAUUUGUUCGGUGUAUUAGGCUUUUAGUUGCAGACUUUGUCCCGAGUGUGGCCUUGGAGGAUAUUGCUUCUUCUGUGGUGGAUGGUGGUGAUUGCCAGACAAACAGUGGGAGCAGUCCUAAUUCAUCGUCGGGGCAGAAGUUUAAUGAAUCGUAUGUGUUGUCAAUGAAUCUCAUUUUAUUAUUUGAAACAAUCACGAUUUAAAUGUAACUAAUUUUUUAGAAUAAUCACGAUUUAGUAUUCAUAUAAGUCAGCUUAUGAUCGUU